rnacentral:rRNA from 1 species
UUCCAAAUUUAAUUAUAUUUGGUAGAAUCUGCCCAAUGAUAAAAUUUAAUGGCCGCAGUAAAUUGACUGUGCUAAGGUAGCAUAAUAAUUUGUCUUUUAAUUAAGGUCUUGUAUGAAAGGUAUUUUUUUUAUUUCUUUUUUUAGUUUUAUUUACAAAAAUUUUUGAAAAAGUGAAAAAACUUUUUGAUAAAAACAGAAGAUAAGACCCUAUUGAACUUUAUUUACAAAGUAAAAAGUUUUUUUUGUAAAUUUUGAUGGGGUAUUAAACUACAUAGUGUAGUUUAUUUAUAGUUUUUUAAAAUAGUAUUAAGUUACCUUAGGGAUAACAGGAUAAUAUUUUUAAAAAGUUCUUAUUAUUAAAAAUGAUUGUUACUUCGAUGUUGAAUCAAAGAUCUUUAUUAAAUGAAGUCAUUAAUAAAAGAAAUCUGUUCGAUUUUUAAAUCUUUAGG